rnacentral:tRNA from 2 species
GCGGGUGUAACUCAGUGGUAGAGUGCUGGCUUCCCAAGCCUGCUGUCGUGGGUUCGAUCCCCAUCACCCGCU